CUGUGGUUAGUUAGACCUUGAAAGUGAGGGAGGUUGACCCGUCCCCUUAGACCAAAGAUAAGGAGGGAACUUCUACUGAAUUUAUGUUGCCAGAGCCAGGCGGGAGGACAAUAGAUUUAUUAUACCGAAGACGUAGGUGGCAGGCAGGCACGGGGUCAUAUCACGAUAGGAUACAGUUUAUGGGACCAAAGGGGGCUGGUCAACCUUCUUCACUCACACCAUAGUGGGAUGAUCUAUAUAAUCUUGUGUAUGUCUUUUUGUGUUUGAACAUUCUCCUUGACUCUCUGAGCGGAGCAUUGUUCCCGGAAGAUCUUCUGAAAUAAACUGUUUAAUUUGCUGCAAACUUGGUAUCCUGACUCCUCUUGACUUCUCUACUCAUCUCAACCAUUCAAAAGAACUCAGAGGGAAACGCACUGGAAACGGCGCUGUAAGGGGUAGUGCGGCCUUUCCUCAACAAUUUGGAGGCACCGCUGGGAUGGUGAGAUUUGGGCCAGAGAGGUUGAUUCGGACCGCGGAGAAAACUGACUGAACCACAAGUCCUGGACGUCCUUCAAUAAAAGUGAGUUUUACAAGCAUGAACAUGAACGUCUUCUUAAAGACGCUGCUGCAGUCUCAGCAGAAAAUAUGAGACCUGAUUUUCAAUGUUGGAACAGCUUUAGUAUAAAAGCUGGUGGUCGCUAUGGACAGUACCAGUUUAGAAACACAUGUGUUCUUGACUCACUCCUUGUUGGACUUCACAUUUGUCACAACAAACAUCCAAAAUGUCGAGAACUUAUUCAAAUGGAUGCUACACUUAAUGCAAUUAUGAUAUUUUUAGAUGCAAAAAAGUAUAAUGAGGCCAGAUAUCUUUGGUUGAUUUACUUAAAUCUAUUGAAUCCAAGUUGUAGAUUCAAAAUAUCUGAAAGAAUUGAUUUUAGGAGUGAGGUCAAGGACCAUUUACCAGUGUUUAGAGACCUGGUAUGUUCUAAAGAGCAUUUUAGUGGAGAUGAAACUCCACUUCAUGGAUUGGAUGAUAUUCUUCAUCAAAGCACCAAAAGAGCUUUUGAACCCUAUGGAAAUGUUAUGCCUUUGGGGAUGAAUUAUAAAGUCCCCAGUGUUAUACUGCUGUUCAAAGAGGAUGGACUGCAUACAGCCCCCCCCAAUUUAUGUCACUGAUAUGUAUGAAAGGACCUUUACACUGCAGUUUCUGCUUGUGUGGAAGAAGCAAGUGUAUGAAAAACACAUGGUUGUGUGCUGUAACAUGGAAUAUAGAUGGGUCCUGUAUGAUAAUCACCCUGAUGUACUUCCUAAAGACUUUAACUACGACUUAGAAGAUUUUAAGAAUGAUUACCCUGUAUACCUUGCUUGUUAUGUCAACAUCACACAACCUGGUCACAGCAAUGUGACUGACGUUCCAGUGGCUGAAGGAGGAGUUGGAACAUCAGUAUGGGCCUGGGAGCCAGUGUAAAAAAACACCAGACACCAGAGAGGUGACAUUCCACGUCCCAAGAGCCAGCUUCUGCAGCCGAGGAUAAGACCGCCAAAUCACACCGAUGGUGAGCCCAUGGGAAGGGGGCCCCUGUCUCCUCUUCAGGCCUGCAUCCGGGCAAGGGAACCACACUCUGCUAAUGUUUACAUUCUCUGAUCUACAUUAGACCAAUCAGUACUCAUUCUUGUAUCUCUUUACCUUUCUCCGAGAUAAUGGCUGCCCACCUAUCUGGCCUGGCAGUGAUGGAUGGUCAACCCUCACCUAUUCCUGUUACCCACAACCGACCUGCUCAUCUGUCCAGCCGACACUGAUGAAAGUUGGACCAUCAGGCGUUACUGUCACCCAAUACAGAUCAGCUGCCCACAGUGACUUUUUAUUAAUAAUGUAUAAGUAGUCUGACCAGUGGUAGGAUGGUACCCCCCUUUAUAUAGGAGCCUAGGUUCCUCCCAAGGUUUCUUCCUCCUCCAGCUCUGAGGAAGUUUUUCCUUGCCUCCGUUGCUCACUGGGGGGUUUUAUGUUUUUGUGUGUCGUUUAAUCCAUUAUUAUGCUGCACAUUUUAUGUAAAUCUGCUUUAUGGCAUCAGUUGUAAAAAAGCACUAUACAAAUAAAAUUAUUUAUACACCA